CAAGGCUAAAUACUAACCAGUGACCGAUAGUGAACCAGUACCGUGAGGGAAAGGUGAAAAGAACCCCGGGAGGGGAGUGAAAGAGAACCUGAAACCGUGUGCCUACAAGUAGUCAGAGCCCGUUAACGGGUAAUGGCGUGCCUUUUGUAGAAUGAACCGGCGAGUUGCGUUAGUCAGCAAGGUUAAGUCAGAAAAGACGGAGCCGUAGCGAAAGCGAGUCUGAAGAGGGCGAGCAGUUGGUUGACGCAGACCCGAAACCAAGUGACCUACCCAUGACCAGGUUGAAGGCGCGGUAAAACGCGCUGGAGGACCGAACCCACGUAAGUUGAAAAUUGCGGGGAUGAGUUGUGGGUAGCGGUGAAAUUCCAAACGAACUUGGAGAUAGCUGGUUCUCUCCGAAAUAGCUUUAGGGCUAGCCUCGCAAAGAGGAUGCUGGAGGUAGAGCUCUGUUUGGACUAGGGGCCCGUCAAGGGUUACUGAAUUCAGAUAAACU
rnacentral:rRNA from 1 species